AUGGACCCACGAAAAACCCUCGUAACAUAAAUGCCACGCCGCGAUGGCGUUGUCUGGCAAAGCUUUCGGCCCUCCAUUUCUACUUGCGCGAUGCAUGGAUUUGUUUGACUGUUGCGUAUCUAGUUGCGUAUCAAUAGCAUAGAAACCUGUGCCUUCAUUCUUUACCUGCUACAUACUGACCCGUUAUCGAAUGCAAUUUUUUUAAAAUGCCUGACAGCGUAACAUCACGCGAGGUUACCAUUCAGCAAUCUGAAAUACCUCAGCAUUACGCGUAUAUUUACAAAUUUCGCGUGGAACAGUGUCCUUUAUUUCUACAGCACAAGUGUACGCAACAUCGCCCUUUCACUUGUUUUCACUGGCAUUCCAAAACCAAAGAAGGCGAAACCUGUACGAAGAAGGGAUGGUACUCUGAAUUACAGUGCUGAUGAGUAUUGCACAAAAAUAUGAUGAAACCACAGGGAUUUGCCAAGAUGGUGAUGAAUGCCCAUUCCUUCACAGAACUGCUGGUGACACUGAAAGAAGAUAUCAUUUGAGGUACUUCAAAACUGCUCCAUGUGUUCAUGAAACUGACACUAGAGGAUUUUGUUGUAAAAAAUGGAGUGCAUUGUGCAUUUGCUCAUGGGAAUUCUGACUUACGCAAUCCAGUGUAUGACAUCCGUGAUAUAAGGUCCAAAGAUACUGCAGAGGCAGACCUUACUGGUCCAAAUGCUCUUGA